rnacentral:rRNA from 1 species
UACGAAGGGGGCUAGCGUUGCUCGGAAUCACUGGGCGUAAAGGGCGCGUAGGCGGGCUCUUAAGUCAGGGGUGAAAGCCCAAGGCUCAACCUUGGAAUUGCCUUUGAUACUGAGGGCCUUUGAGACCGGAAGAGGUCGGCGGAACUGCGAGUGUAGAGGUGAAAUUCGUAGAUAUUCGCAAGAACACCAGUGGCGAAGGCGGCCGACUGGUCCGGUUCUGGAUGCUGAGGCGCG